rnacentral:rRNA from 1 species
CCUACGGGAGGCAGCAGUGGGGAAUAUUGGACAAUGGACGCAAGUCUGAUCCAGCAAUGCCGCGUGAGUGAUGAAGGCCUUAGGGUUGUAAAGCUCUUUUACCAGGGAUGAUAAUGACAGUACCUGGAGAAUAAGCUCCGGCUAACUCCGUGCCAGCAGCCGCGGUAAUACGGAGGGAGCUAGCGCUGUUCGGAAUUACUGGGCGUAAAGCGCACGUAGGCGGUUACUCAAGUGAGAGGUGAAAGCCCGGGGCUCAACCCCGGAACUGCCUUUGAAACUAGGUAACUAGAAUCCUGGGGUGGGGGGUGGAAUUCCGGGUGUAGAGGUGAGGUUCGUGGGUAUUCGGGAGAGCACCAGUGGGGAGGGCGGCUCACUGGACAGGUAUUGACGCUGAGGUGCGAAAGCGGGGGGAGCAAAGAGGAUUAGAGACCCUAGUAGUC